rnacentral:misc_RNA from 1 species
CCCCCCACAAGACAUUAUGGUCUUAAGUUUCCUUCUCCAAUUAACCAAGGACACACAAUUAGGCGAUCACAAUAACAGAUCCAACUAUCAAGGUGUUAAACAAGCAAACAAUAUUUUAAUCGGGUCCCUACAAAUGUUACUUCCCCAAAAUUAUCACAAAAAAUAAUCCUAAAACUUCCAAAAACAUAAAAUAUAACAAUUUUACUCUAGUGAUCUGAAUGAGCUGUUAGAAUGCUAGUUGUG